UACGGAGGGUGCAAGCGUUGUUCGGAAUUAUUGGGCGUAAAGAGCGUGUAGGCGGUUAGGUAAGUCAGAUGUGAAAGCCCUUGGCUUAACCAAGGAAGUGCAUUUGAAACUACUUAGCUUGAGUACGGGAGGGGGGAGCGGAAUUCCCGGUGUAGAGGUGAAAUUCGUAGAUAUCGGGAGGAACACCGGUGGCGAAGGCGGCUUCCUGGACCGAUACUGACGCUGAGACGCGAAAGCGUGGGGAGCAAACAGG
rnacentral:rRNA from 1 species